AUGCUUGUGGAUUUCAAUGGCUUCUCUGUGAAGCCAUUUCAAUGGCUUCACAGCCUGAAAGACAUACAACAACCCUGUGAUCCCGGCCAUGAAAGCCUUCGACAAUACAAUGUUGUCUACAAAGUAGACAGGGACACCAUUAGGCCUUCUCUUUCUUUCUGCCACUCCUCUGUGACUCUUCUUUUCUCCUCCCCUCUCUUUUUUUCCUUUCCAUAAUAGUAAUAAUAGUAACUUUAUUCUUGUAUCCCACCACCAUCUCCCUGAAGGCUUACACACGGCACCAAGUGCCAAAAACAGAAUAUAAAAUAAAACACCAUUUAAAAAUACAGUUGAAAAAACAUAUAGACAUAUUACAUGACAACUUAAAACUCAGUUUAAACAGCGCUCAUCAACCAGUGUCGGUAAGCUACCGUAAAUGUGACCAGGCUGUAAAUAAUUGGGAUAAGUCCAAAGCUGUAACAAUGGGAAAAGGGACAUGGGAAAAGUGUCUCCCUCUUUUUUAUACCACCUCCUUUGUGUCUCUAUGCUAUUCCUUUGAACCUGGGUCUCCUAAUCAAUAGUCACAUCACUAGACCAUACUCAUCCUAAUAGUUUGUUAUUGUGUGCCUUCAAGUCAUUUCCAACCCUAGGGCAAACCCAUCACGGGGGUUUCUUGGCAAGAUGUGUUCAUGGUUUUGCCUUUCCCUUCCUCUAAGGCAGUGGUUCUCAACCUGGGGUCCCCAUAUGUUUUUGGCAUACAACUCCCAGAAAUCCCAGCCAGUUUAUCAGAUGUUAGGAUUUCUGGGAGUUGAAGGCCAAAAACAUCUGGGGACCCCAAAUUAAGAACCACUGCUCUAAGGCUGUGACCUACCUAAGAUCAUCCACAGUUGUACAGGGAUUCGAACACUGGGGACAGUCAUAAUUCAGUGCUUAAACCACUACACCAGGCUGGAUCAAGUAGUGUUUCUAGCUCUGUGUAAUGUGCAAAAUGGUCCUCAUUUCUUUAAAAUGGCUCUCCUCUUAUCCGACGUCUCCUCCUUGCCGUAGCUGGACUGGAGCCUCCGUGUAUCCAUCCUUUUGUGUCAGUGGAUACGCAGCUGCUGACUCAUUGUCCCCGACUCAUUGUCUCAUUGACCCCGAGUCCCCGUAGCCGCCCCGAGUCCCCGUUGGGGAGAUGGUGGCGGGGUAUAAAUAAAGUUUUAUUAUUAUUAUUAUUAUUGUGUGGCUGGGGGAAAAUGAUUCAGGUGGUGAUGGAGAAGCAAAAGCCUGGGAAUGUUGAUUGUAACCUCUUCAGAUGAGAGAGAAAGAAGCAAGCCAGGGAUUCGGGAAAGAGCAUUACAAUGAUGCAGCUGAUUAGCAGGCUGUUCCAUGUCCUUCUUGCCUCAAGUGCUGUAACCACGGAAAUGUAGGUCUUUGCUGAUUUCUAAAAGCCAGAGUCAUUCUUCCUUCUCCCAUCCGCCCCCACUCCAUCCCCGAUUCGCA
rnacentral:lncRNA from 1 species